rnacentral:rRNA from 1 species
ACAAUGGGGGAAAGCCUGAUGCAGCCAUGCCGCGUGUGUGAAGAAGGUCUUCGGAUUGUAAAGCACUUUCAGCGAGGAGGAAAGGCUGAUACCUAAUACGUGUCAGUUGUGACGUUACUGGCAGAAUAAGCACCGGCUAACUCCGUGCCAGCAGCCGCGGUAAUACGGAGGGUGCAAGCGUUAAUCGGAAUUACUGGGCGUAAAGCGCACGCAGGCGGUUGGAUAAGUUAGAUGUGAAAUGCCCCGGGCUCAACCUGGGAACUGCAUCCAAAACUGUCCAG